GAUGAACGCUGGCGGCGUGCUUAACACAUGCAAGUCGAACGAAGCACUCUAUUUGAUUUUCUUCGGAAAUGAAGAUUUUGUGACUGAGUGGCGGACGGGUGAGUAACGCGUGGGUAACCUGCCUCAUACAGGGGGAUAACAGUUGGAAACGACUGCUAAUACCGCAUAAGCGCACAGGAUCGCAUGAUCCGGUGUGAAAAACUCCGGUGGUAUGGGAUGGACCCGCGUCUGAUUAGCCAGUUGGCAGGGUAACGGCCUACCAAAGCGACGAUCAGUAGCCGACCUGAGAGGGUGACCGGCCACAUUGGGACUGAGACACGGCCCAAACUCCUACGGGAGGCAGCAGUGGGGAAUAUUGCACAAUGGGGGAAACCCUGAUGCAGCGACGCCGCGUGAGCGAAGAAGUAUUUCGGUAUGUAAAGCUCUAUCAGCAGGGAAGAAGAAUGACGGUACCUGACUAAGAAGCACCGGCUAAAUACGUGCCAGCAGCCGCGGUAAUACGUAUGGUGCAAGCGUUAUCCGGAUUUACUGGGUGUAAAGGGAGCGCAGGCGGUGCGGCAAGUCUGAUGUGAAAGCCCGGGGCUCAACCCCGGUACUGCAUUGGAAACUGUCGUACUAGAGUGUCGGAGGGGUAAGUGGAAUUCCUAGUGUAGCGGUGAAAUGCGUAGAUAUUAGGAGGAACACCAGUGGCGAAG
rnacentral:rRNA from 1 species